rnacentral:rRNA from 1 species
ACUCAAAGGAAUAGACGGGGACCCGCACAAGCGGUGGAACAUGUGGUUUAAUUCGAAGCAACGCGAAAAACCUUACCAGGGCUUGACAUCUAACAAACACUCUUGAAAGAGAGUGGUGCUCUUCGGAGAAUGUUAAGACAGGUGGUGCACGGUUGUCGUCAGCUCGUGUCGUGAGAUGUUGGGUUAAGUCCCGCAACGAGCGCAACCCUCGUCGUUAGUUGCACAUAUCGGUAUACUGAUAUGCUGCUCUCUAGCGAGACUGCCGGUGAUAAACCGGAGGAAGGUGGGGACGACGUCAAAUCAUCAUGCCCCUUAUGCUCUGGGCUACACACGUGUUACAAUGGCUAAGACAACGAGCCGCCAACUCGCGAGAGUGAGCAAAUCUCUUAAACUUAGUCUCAGUUCGGAUUGGACUCUGCAACUCGAGUCCAUGAAGUCGGAAUCGCUAGUAACCGCAGAUCAGCAUGCUGCGGUGAAUACGUUCCCGGGUCUUGUACACACCGCCCGU